CUAAAUGUGUGAUAAAUAUAUUGUUUAUGUUUAGUAUAUUAAAUAUAAUAUUUGCUUAUGUUAUCUCUUUACAUAUUUAAUAAGAAAAAUUUUAUGCUUUUUCUAUUACUUUUUUUACAAUUAUAGAAAAAGAGAAAUUAAUUAUAUAUUUUUUUUUGGUAGGAUUUUUAGGAAAAGAAAAAGUUAGGAAAAAGAAAACAUGGAAGAAGAAAAUGUAGCUCAACCACAACAUAAUUCUUUGUUUAACGACAACGACUUCAUGUUCAAUAAGCCUUUUCCUUAAGCAGCCAAAACAUGGAUGAGAGAGCAAUGCAUUUUGAAUGAAGUAGUAAAGUCUAGACCCAACAAUAUUCAUUUGUAUAUGUUUGUUUUACUAGUUGAAUAUAAAUAUAUGAUAUAGAUUUUGGAAUUAAUUAGACUUCAUUAUCUUACUAUCUUCUUUCAUUUAAGUUCAAAAGUAAAGAUUUUCCUCUUCUUUAUUCCAUUAAUUCUUAUAAUGAAAAAUUAUAUUCAAAUAUCUUGUAGCAAACUCUAGAUAUACUUUAUUGAAUUACAAUAUCUUGUUAACUCUAUAAAAUAAAUGAUUUAUUGAUUAACUUAUCUUAAUUCAAGAACUUACAAAAUUUUCCAACCUCUUACAAUUUGCAUUAAUGUAUGAUUGAUUAAGCCACAAUAAACAAUACAUAUAAAGAUUAAACAUCAAUGAAGAAGAAUAACAUAACAUUGUAUAUAAAUAAAUAUAAUUAAAAUAUACAACAGAAUUUGGUGAUUAUAUCUAAUCCUAACAAAUAUGGAGUUGAAUAGCAUGAAAUAUAAACAAAAAAUGAAGAAGAAAUGAAGGUAGAAGUCAUGGAGGGUGUCUUUAGUGGAUGGAUGCCCCAAUCUUAUCUUCUUCUGCACUUGAUUCCUUUUAUUUCCGUUUUAUGUUCUUAUAUGAGAUUUCAAGUUAAAAGGUACUUGAGACAAAAUUUAUUGGACUUGUUGGUGAUCUAUAAGCGAUAUUCCCAUGGUCUCUACUUUCAAAUCUCAUUUGACUAUGAUUAGCUCUAUUUAGACCAGACUUUAUAUUCAAGAUAUGUUGCUCUUUGAUUUAUUAUUUCACUGAGUAAUUUUUUUUUUACUCAGGUUAAUUCUAACUAAGCAAGAAGCC
rnacentral:lncRNA from 1 species